AGAGCGAACGCUGGCGGCAGGCCUAACACAUGCAAGUCGAGCGCCCGUAGCAAUACGGGAGCGGCAGACGGGAUAGUAACACGUGGGAACGCGCCCUUCGGUUCGGAAUAACUCAGGGAAACUUGAGCUAAUACCGGAUACGCCCUUACGGGGAAAGAUUUAUUGCCGAAGGAACGGCCCGCGUCCGAUUAGCUAGUUGGCGAGGUAAUGGCUCACCAAGGCGACGAUCGGUAGCUGGUCUGAGAGGAUGACCAGCAUCACUGGGACUGAGACACGGCCCAGACUCCUACGGGAGGCAGCAGUGGGGAAUAUGGACAAUGGGCGCAAGCCUGAUCCAGCCAUGCCGCGUGGAUGAUGAAGGCCUUAGGGUUGUAAAGUCCUUUAACGGGGAAGAUAAUGACGGUACCCGUAGAAUAAGCCCCGGCUAACUUCGUGCCAGCAGCCGC
rnacentral:rRNA from 1 species